AUACUUGUGCCGUUUAUAGUGGGUUUCACUGUUUGAGCCAAUGUCACUCAGCCAUUGCAUGCUAAAAGCUCAGAGUGACCUCCUCUGGUCUGGUCACUCACCCUGGGCCUACCACUGCACUCUUAAAAGUAAAAAGGAUUUUUGGUGAAUACCACAGAAGAGCCACUUCAGAUCCCUUCACCUGAUGGUUAGGGAAUCUUUUUAAAAGGUGGAACUCUGGCUUGGGGUGUUGUGGGAACAGCUGUGGACGGAAGCAGGUGAUGAAAUGAAGAAAACAUCAAGUAACAGCGAGGAACAGCACAAAUGGUCAAUGUGUUCAGUAUUCAGUCAUCAUUGCUUUCUUCAAAGAAAACUUCUGAAAGCAAGCGUGAGCAGAAAAACACGCAUCUCUUAUCUCUCUUA